rnacentral:rRNA from 1 species
UAAGCAUAUCAAUAAGCGGAGGAAAAGAAACCAACAGGGAUUGCCCUAGUAACGGCGAGUGAAGCGGCAACAGCUCAAAUUUGAAAUCUGGCUGUCGGGCCCGAGUUGUAAUUUGUAGAGGAUACUUUUGAUGCGGUGCCUUCCGAGUUCCCUGGAACGGGACGCCAUAGAGGGUGAGAGCCCCGUCUGGUUGGAUGCCAAAUCUCUGUAAAGUUCCUUCGACGAGUCGAGUAGUUUGGGAAUGCUGCUCUAAAUGGGAGGUAUAUGUCUUCUAAAGCUAAAUACCGGCCAGAGACCGAUAGCGCACAAGUAGAGUGAUCGAAAGAUGAAAAGCACUUUGAAAAGAGAGUUAAAAAGUACGUGAAAUUGUUGAAAGGGAAGCGUUUAUGACCAGACUUGGGCUUGGUUAAUCAUCUGGGGUUCUCCCCAGUGCACUUUUCCAGUCCAGGCCAGCAUCAGUUUUCCCCGGGGGAUAAAGACUUCGGGAAUGUGGCUCUCUUCGGGGAGUGUUAUAGCCCGUUGUGUAAUACCCCGGGGGGGACUGAGGUUCGCGCAUCUGCAAGGAUGCUGGCGUAAUGGUCAUCAACGACCCGUCUUGAAACACGGACCAAGGAGUCGUCUUCGUAUGCGAGUGUUCGGGUGUCAAACCCCUACGCGUAAUGAAAGUGAACGCAGGUGAGAGCUUCGGCGCAUCAUCGACCGAUCCUGAUGUUCUCGGAUGGAUUUGAGUAAGAGCAUACGGGGCCGGACCCGAAAGAAGGUGAACUAUGCCUGUAUAGGGUGAAGCCAGAGGAAACUCUGGUGGAGGCUCGCAGCGGUUCUGACGUGCAAAUCGAUC